AUAACAUCUAAACAGGCUGUUCUUCCCAUUUCUAUUACUUCAUCUUAGUCUUGUUAGGAACAGGUGGGCAACUCUUGUAGACCUCCACUGAUAUCUCUUCUCUAAGUAGACUUAGGUUUUGUUUCUGCAUCUGUCACUUGGCGAAUAUAGAUACCAUCUUCAGGAUGUUCAAUGUCAUCCAUUUCAUACAUAUAUGAAGAAGCUAUUGCAAGGGUGGUUCCAUCGUUGCUGAAGGCAAGUGAUGCUAUGCUUGUGGGAUACCGAUGGAACUGACACAGCCGCUUUUUGUUAAAUGGAUCCCAGAUAUUUACAAACCCAUCAGAACCUCCUGUAGCAAACGUGUUGUGGACAUUAUGGAAAGAAAUAGCAUUAACUGGAUAAAUCUGCUCAAUGUUGUUCUCUUUCAAACGAUGACACUUGAAUGCAUAUUUCUUCUUCUGUAUUUCAGGACUUGGAUCCAAAUACUCCACUGCAACACGACCUUCAAUGGAACUUAAAACAUAACCCUGUUUAUUUGGGAACGCUCUGAUACAGCGGGUCUGGUAUUUCAGGCUCGAUUCUCUUCGCUGCUGAACGUAACCCAUGUUGCGCAAAUCCCACACCAGCACCCUGCGACCUGCAGUCCCCACAAUCAGCCUAUCUCCAGACACAGACAGCGUGUACACCUUUUCUGGCUGAGAGAAGGUUCCUGCAUUGCAAGGUGUUCUGGGAUCCCACAGUUUAACUGUUUGAUCCCAGCUGCCAGUCACCAUGACAUUCACUUCUGGGCAAUACUCAACACAUCUGAUAGGUGCAUCAUGGCCACCAACAAGGUUUUCUUGGUCCGUGUUUAGAUCAUGCAUUUUCAGCUGCUGAUCUAAUCCUCCACUCCAUGCAUGGGUAGGAUCAUAAAAAGCACAGUCAAGGACAGCUCCUGAAUGUUGAUAUUUGAGUCUCAUGCUGUUGGCAGGAACAUCAUAGAGACGGACUGUAGUGUCCCAGGAUGAAACAAGCAGAAACUGAGAGGUAUUUGGACUGAACUUGACCGAUGAAAUCCCAUCAUCUGGAGUUUGAUUGAGUUUGAACUCGUUUGAUCCCGUCAUCGUUUUCAUAGUACACGGCUUCUUCCCUCUCUCGAGGCCACACCAAGGAGAAACGUUCUUCACGCAGCAGCGCGGGGGAGGAAGGCAGCCCGGUCCCGGAGAGUCCUGUCUCACCCCUCCGCCCGCCGCGGC
rnacentral:lncRNA from 1 species